rnacentral:rRNA from 1 species
UACGUAGGGCGCAAGCGUUGUCCGGAAUUAUUGGGCGUAAAGGGCGCGUAGGCGGCCUUCUAAGUCGAACGUGAAAUCCCUGGGCUCAACCCAGGAACUGCGUCCGAUACUGGAAGGCUUGAAUCCGGGAGAGGGAUGCGGAAUUCCAGGUGUAGCGGUGAAAUGCGUAGAUAUCUGGAGGAACACCGGUGGCGAAGGCGGCAUCCUGGACCGGUAUUGACGCUGAGGCGCGAAAGCCAGGGGAGCAAACGGG